rnacentral:rRNA from 1 species
UACGUAGGGUGCAAGCGUUAAUCGGAAUUACUAGGCGUAAAGCGUGCGCAGGCGGUUCUAUAAGACAGAUGUGAAAUCCCCGGGCUCAACCUGGGAACUGCAUUUGUGACUGCAUCGCUGGAGUGCGGCAGAGGGGGAUGGAAUUCCGCGUGUAGCAGUGAAAUGCGUAGAUAUGCGGAGGAACACCGAUGGCGAAGGCAAUCCCCUGGGCCUGCACUGACGCUCAUGCACGAAAGCGUGGGGAGCAAACAGG